rnacentral:rRNA from 1 species
UAGGGAAUCUUCGGCAAUGGACGAAAGUCUGACCGAGCAACGCCGCGUGAGUGAAGAAGGUUUUCGGAUCGUAAAACUCUGUUGUUAGAGAAGAACAAGGACGUUAGUAACUGAACGUCCCCUGACGGUAUCUAACCAGAAAGCCACGGCUAACUACGUGCCAGCAGCCGCGGUAAUACGUAGGUGGCAAGCGUUGUCCGGAUUUAUUGGGCGUAAAGCGAGCGCAGGCGGUUUCUUAAGUCUGAUGUGAAAGCCCCCGGCUCAACCGGGGAGGGUCAUUGGAAACUGGGAGACUUGAGUGCAGAAGAGGAGAGUGGAAUUCCAUGUGUAGCGGUGAAAUGCGUAGAUAUAUGGAGGAACACCAGUGGCGAAGGCGGCUCGCUGUACUGUAACUGACGCUGAGGCUCGAAAGCGUGGGGAGCAAACAGG